GUGGGGAAUCUUGCGCAAUGGGCGAAAGCCUGACGCAGCCAUGCCGCGUGAAUGAUGAAGGUCUUAGGAUUGUAAAAUUCUUUCACCGGGGACGAUAAUGACGGUACCCGGAGAAGAAGCCCCGGCUAACUUCGUGCCAGCAGCCGCGGUAAUACGAAGGGGGCUAGCGUUGCUCGGAAUUACUGGGCGUAAAGGGCGCGUAGGCGGACAGUUUAGUCAGAGGUGAAAGCCCAGGGCUCAACCUUGGAAUUGCCUUUGAUACUGGCUGUCUUGAGUACGGGAGAGGUGAGUGGAACUCCGAGUGUAGAGGUGAAAUUCGUAGAUAUUCGGAAGAACACCAGUGGCGAAGGCGGCUCACUGGCUCGAUACUGACGCUGAGGUGCGAAAGCGUGGGGAGCAAACAGGAUUAGAUACCCCAGUAGUCC
rnacentral:rRNA from 1 species